rnacentral:lncRNA from 1 species
UGUAUUGAUACAAAAACAUUGUGCUGUAUUUCUUAAGGAGGGAGGGCUCUGAUAAACCCCAAUUCCAAUUCCAUGAAGUUCCAAUGUUGAUUACAUCCUAAAAAUUUCUAGCUGAUGAUGCACUCGUUUGAUCAACGUCGUCUACAUAAUGAUGAGACAAGAUAUUAUCAUAUGAUAAAUUCAUUGUCUCUUGAUCACCACCUUCUAAAUGAGUUUCAGUUGGAUCGUUCUUUCGCGUUUGUUUUAAUGGAACCUUUUGAAGUUGUUCUUUAGUCGUAGAUGGAUUUUCAGAUGCAAGUGAAUUACUCAAGGGAAAAUAUUCAAUGUUAUUCUUGUUGUUUUGUCAUGUUUAAUGAGAAAUGUCAUAAAUCUUAUGAAACCUGUACUUUGAGAAAACUUGAGCAAAAAAUAGAUGUAAAAUUUCUUUUUGUAUUUCUGUGUGUUCUGUCUUUUGCUGCAGCUGUACAUUUAUACAAAAGGAAAACCUAAUGAGCCAGUUGUACAU